UUCCCUUGACUUGCCGUCACAUGAUGCUCUCUCAAGGACACUGCCAGAGUAUCUUCCCCUCCUCAAAAAGACCAAAAACUCAGAAUCUGUCCCACAGAAAAAGUCUCAGCUCAACCAAACAUUUGAUGUUCAUUCAGCUCUCAAAAGUCCACCAAUACCUGAUUUUGAAGAUGACCCUCGUGCAGGUGAAGUCACUGAACAUCAAACUAAAAUGAAGAAGAGCUCAAGAGGAGAGAGAUCGAGUCUGUGCUGGCGGCAGAAAACUCUCGACUCAGAGAAGAGCUGGACAGACUGUGUAAUCUACCACCACCUGUCAUCAUUCAACUACAUGUGCAGGAAAACCAGAGACCACCGCUCGUUACACACUAAACAUACUGCAUGAACAACACUCGCUCUUUUAUUAAUGCUUCUGAUCUCAUCUCAUCAGCCUUUCUCAGACUGCGAGAAGCUGGAGUUACUGACACAGCUGGCGAGAGCCGAGGGUUGAAUCCAGCCACAGAAUCUGAAAGAAGACUCCAGAAUGUGGGGGAAAGAAAAACAAGAGAUGUUGACCAUACUCUGUGAAUAUGAACAUGGAUUUGCU